CUACGUGCCAGCAGCCGCGGUAAUACGGAGGAUGCGAGCGUUAUCCGGAAUCAUUGGGUUUAAAGGGUCCGUAGGCGGGCUGAUAAGUCAGAGGUGAAAGCGCUUAGCUCAACUAAGCAACUGCCUUUGAAACUGUCAGUCUUGAAUGAUUGUGAAGUAGUUGGAAUGUGUAGUGUAGCGGUGAAAUGCUUAGAUAUUACACAGAACACCGAUAGCGAAGGCAUAUUACUAACAAUUUAUUGACGCUGAUGGACGAAAGCGUGGGGAGCGAACAGGAUUAGAUACCCUGGUAGUCCACGCUGUAAACGAUGGAUACUAGCUGUUUGGAGCAAUCUGAGUGGCUAAGCGAAAGUGAUAAGUAUCCCACCUGGGGAGUACGCACGCAAGUGUGAAACUCAAAGGAAUUGACGGGGGCCCGCACAAGCGGCGGAGCAUGUGGAUUAAUUCGAUGCAACGCGAAGAACCUUACCUGGGUUUGACAUGCACCAGACGGUUGUAGAGAUACGUACCUCCUUUG
rnacentral:rRNA from 1 species